GGGGAGCCCACAGGGAGCCCGCGGAGUGACCCAGGCCCGGCUCGGCUCGGCGGUGAGGGGAAGUGGUGUACGAGCACCGGUCCCGCCUGGAGCGAUCCCUGCAGAAGGAGAGGGGCGAGCACAAGAAGACCAAGGAAGAUUUCUUGGUGUACAAGCUGGAGGCUCAGGAAGCUCUCAACAAGGAGAAGGUGGGGGUGCUUUGUCCUGGCCUUGGUGCCAGGGGGGAAUCCUUCCUGUGCCCCCGGGCAGGGCAGGGCAGGGCAGGGCAGGGAGGGCUCCUGGCACGGCUGAGCCCUGGGCUGGAGCUCUGCUGCUGCCACUCCAGAUUCCUGUGGGACACAGAGCCCCGUGCUGCCCUGGGGCCCUGGAGAAGCUUCCAGAAUGGAAUGGUGGAGCUGGGAUUGUGGGGGUGGAGAGUUUGGAUAGAAGGGUGUGAUGUCACAG
rnacentral:lncRNA from 1 species